AGUGAACGCUGGCGGCAGGCCUAACACAUGCAAGUCGAACGGCAGCACAGUAAGAGCUCGCUUCUACGGGUGGCGACUGGCGGAUGGGUGAGGAAUACAUCGGAAUCCACUUUUUCGUGGGGGAUAACGUAGGGACACUUACGAUAAUACCGCAUAUGAUCUACGGGUGAAAGCAGUGGAUCUUCGGAUCUUGCGUGAUUCUAUGAGCCGAUGUCGGAUUAGCUAGUUGGCGGGGUAAAGGCCCACCAAGGCGACGAUCCGUAGCUGGUCUGAGAGGAUGAUCAGCCACACUGGAACUGAGACACGGUCCAGACUCCUACGGGAGGCAGCAGUGGGGAAUAUUGGACAAUGGGCGCAAGCCCGAUCCAGCCAUGCCGCGUGAGUGAAGAAGGUCUUCGGAUUGUAAAGCCCUUUUAUUGGGGAAGAAAAGCAGCAUGUUAAUACCCCGCUGUUCUGACGGUACCCAAAGAGUAAGCACCGGCUAACUUCGUG
rnacentral:rRNA from 1 species